rnacentral:lncRNA from 1 species
UGGAGGCAUCCUCAGACCGAUAAGAGAGAGCCGCUGCGAAUGUCGAGGGUGAGCAGUGCCGCUGCAGCCGCGGGACCUGCAGGUGCCAUGGCCGGGCGCGGGUGGGCACCAAAGCCCCACACGUAUUCCAGACUCCUCCUGACUUGCCUGAAUAGAUCCAUUUUCCUGAGACCAGCUGCAGCGAUUCUGCACGUUUGUGAAAACACGUUGCACCAGAGGCUGGUGGAGCUGGUGCGGGGUCUGUGGCUGGUCCCCCAAGGGUGCCUCUGUCCCACAGGUUGCCCCUGAAGCUGUGAGGUGACCAGCUAAGCCUCUCCCACCUCCCCACCCAUGCCCUUUUGCAAUCUAGUGAUUAACUUAAUUACAGUCCCAGCGCCAGGAGUUGAUCCAGCCCGAGAGCACGAGCUCUGCCAGGAGGGUCUUGCCUCACGUGUCCUGUCCGGGUUCAGAACAAGACCACGGACACGUACACGAGCACCGCUGGCUGCAGAAGCAAAUCCUGUUGCCUCGUGUGGGGGAUUUAAGCACUGAUUCCCAGAGUGAGCAGCUGUGUGGGACCUGCUGUGUGGAAAGAACACGCGGGAUGGAGAAUGGCAAAAGCUCAGUCUCGCCAGCCAAGCACGGGGUGGAGGAUGUGCUGCACCCAGCGCGUCCGAGGGGACACCUCUGGGCUGCGCGGCAAAGGCGAUGCAAGAGGCGUCCAAAUUAAAAAAGGGUAAUUAGUGGAGUAACACCAAGGGCUUCCCCUUCCCUGCAGGAGACGGCACGCACCACCUGCCUUUCACAAGUGCCUUUUUCCCCCUCGCAGGCUGACGCUGAGGCCACCACGAAGCAUCGUCCCUUCUCCCCUGCUCUGGCACCGGCACCUCGCCCGCGCAGACCGAGACACGCCAGCGCCCGGGACUGGCCAGGAGCAGCCACUGACAUGUGCCACGAGUUUCGCAGUCCUCGUGGUCUCGUCUCUGGCACCUGAGGAGGAUGACUCUGGGCUGCUGAGGCCCCAGGGAUGAUGCCCUAGGUGCAGGUACCUGGUUCCGGGUGUUUGCCACGGGGCAGCGGGCGGUUAAGUGCAGAGCUGCACACACCUCUCCUCUGUGCGUCUGCCUCUGUUUUGCUUCCCAGGGGAGAAGCAUCUGGAGGGAGUGGAAACCACAAGGGAUGCUGUAAAAACUAAUUGCUCGUUACAGGUUGAAAUGUUUUGUGGCGACGCAGGAAACCCUUCUGGGCAGGGGGGCACUCGGUGUGCCCCGGCACGGUGACAGAG